rnacentral:rRNA from 1 species
GACGAACGCUGGCGGCGGGCUUAACACAUGCAAGUCGAACGGAAAGGCCCUGCUUUUGUGGGGUGCUCGAGGGGCGAACGGGUGAGUAACACGUGAGUAACCUGCCCUUCUCUUUGGGAUAACUUCAGGAAACUGGGGCUAAUACCGUAUAGGAGCUCCUGCUGCAGGGAGGGGGGUGGAAAGUCUCGGCGGGUGGGGAUGGAUUCGCGGCUGAUCAGCUUGUUGGUGGGGGAGGGGCUUACCAAGGCUUGGGAGGGUAGCCGGCCGGGGAGGGUGACCGGCCACCUUGCGACUGAGAUACGGCCCAGUCUGCUACAGGAGGCAACAGUGGGGAGUCUUACCCAGUGGGCCGGCGCGUGAUGCGGCAACGCUGCGUUCGUAAUGACGGCCUUCGGGUUGUAAAACGCUUUCGCCUGUGACGACGCGGUAGUGACGGUACUGAGUGAAGAAGCACCGGCUAACUUCGUG